GGCUGUAGCUCAGUGGUAGAGUGCCUGCCUAGCAGGUGUGAGGCACUGGGUUCGAUCCUUAGCACCA
rnacentral:tRNA from 1 species